rnacentral:tRNA from 1 species
GGCCCGUUCGUCUAGCGGUCGAGGAUAGCUGGCUUUCAAUCAGCAGAGAGGGGUUCGAUUCCCCUACGGGCUG